GCAGGUCGAGCGGUAACAUUUCAAAAGCUUGCUUUUGAAGAUGACGAGCGGCGGACGGGUGAGUAAUGCCUGGGAAUUUGCCCAUUUGUGGGGGAUAACAGUUGGAAACGACUGCUAAUACCGCAUACGCCCUACGGGGGAAAGCAGGGGACCUUCGGGCCUUGCGCUGAUGGAUAAGCCCAGGUGGGAUUAGCUAGUAGGUGAGGUAAAGGCUCACCUAGGCGACGAUCCCUAGCUGGUCUGAGAGGAUGAUCAGCCACACUGGGACUGAGACACGGCCCAGACUCCUACGGGAGGCAGCAGUGGGGAAUAUUGCACAAUGGGGGAAACCCUGAUGCAGCCAUGCCGCGUGUGUGAAGAAGGCCUUCGGGUUGUAAAGCACUUUCAGCGAGGAGGAAAGGGUGUAAGUUAAUACCUUACAUCUGUGACGUUACUCGCAGAAGAAGCACCGGCUAACUCCGUGCCAGCAGCCGCGGUAAUACGGAGGGUGCGAGCGUUAAUCGGAAUUACUGGGCGUAAAGCGUGCGCAGGCGGUUUGUUAAGCGAGAUGUGAAAGCCCCGGGCUCAACCUGGGAACCGCAUUUCGAACUGGCAAACUAGAGUCUUGUAGAGGGGGGGUAGAAUUCCAGGUGUAGCGGUGAAAUGCGUAGAGAUCUGGAGGAAUACCGGUGGCGAAGGCGGCCCCCCUGGACAAANGACUGACGCUCAGGCACGAAAGCGUGGGGAAGCAAACAGGAAUUAGAUACCCUGGNUAGUCCACGCCGUAAACGAUGGUCUACUCGGAGUUUGGGUGUCUUGAAACACUGGGCUCUCAAGCUAACGCAUUAAAGUAGACCGCCCUGGGGAGUACGGCCGCCAAGGUUAAAAACUC
rnacentral:rRNA from 1 species